rnacentral:rRNA from 1 species
CUACGACUCUCGACAAUGGAUAUCUCGGCUCUCGCUUCGAUGAAGAACGUAGCGAAAUGCGAUACCUUGUGUGAAUUGCAGAAUCCCGUGAAUCAUCGAAUCUUUGAACGCAAGUUGCGCCCGAGGCCUAGGCCGAGGGCACGUCUGCCUGGGUGUCGUGAAA